rnacentral:rRNA from 1 species
CCUACGGGCGGCUGCAGUGGGGAAUAUUGCACAAUGGGGGAAACCCUGAUGCAGCGACGCCGCGUGUAGGAAGACGGUCCUCUGGAUUGUAAACUACUGUCCCCAGGGAGGAAAAUGACGGUACCUGCGGAGGAAGCCCCGGCUAACUACGUGCCAGCAGCCGCGGUAAUACGUAGGUGGCGGGGGUUGUCCGGAAUUACUGGGUGUAAAGGGAGCGUGGGGGGGGAUGAAAGUUGGCUGUAAAAUCUAGAGGCUAAACUGGUAGCCGCUGUUGAAACUGUAGAUCUUGAGUGAAGUAGAGGUAGGCGGAAUGCCGAGUGUAGCGGUGAAAUGCGUAGAUAUUAGGAGGAACACCAGUGGCGAAGGCGGCCUGCUGGGCUUUAACUGACGCUGAGGCUCGAAAGUGUGGGGAGCAAACAGGAUUAGAUACCCGAGUAGUC